CGCUGGCGGCGUGCCUAACACAUGCAAGUCGAGCGAGGAGAUUCCUUCGGGAUGAUCCUAGCGGCGGACGGGUGAGUAACACGUGGGCAACCUGCCUCAUAGAGAGGAAUAGCCUUCCGAAAGGGAGAUUAAUACCUCAUAACAUUGCAGUUUCGCAUGGAACAGCAAUUAAAGGAGCAAUCCGCUAUGAGAUGGGCCCGCGGCGCAUUAGCUAGUUGGUGAGGUAACGGCUCACCAAGGCGACGAUGCGUAGCCGACCUGAGAGGGUGAUCGGCCACAUUGGGACUGAGACACGGCCCAGACUCCUACGGGAGGCAGCAGUGGGGAAUAUUGCACAAUGGGGGAAACCCUGAUGCAGCCAACGCCGCGUGAGUGAUGACGGCCUUCGGGUUGUAAAGCUCUGUCUUCAGGGACGAUAAUGACGGCACCUGAGGAGGAAGCCACGGCUAACUACGUGCCAGCAGCCGC
rnacentral:rRNA from 1 species